rnacentral:lncRNA from 1 species
CGGGCCCACAGGCUGCUGGCCAGAGGUACUAGGAAGGUACAGGCGGGAGCUGGACGAGGACGCACUUUCCCCUGUCUUGGAAAGGUUGCGCAACGUCCCUCUCGGAGCCCGAUGCUUACGGAGCCCGAAGCUUACGGGCCACACACACAAGCACCUGGAUCCAUCAUUCGGCCACCUGACAGCUUCUGUGCCAACCUUGUAACGCUUUCUCCUUCCUCUAAAUUGUCUUUGAAGCUGGACAGCCCAUGACCCCAACACUUGAGAGGUGAAGGCAGGAGGAUCAGAAGUCCAAGGGUACUGUUCACAGUGCUGCUGGUCAAGCCCUAAGGUCAUGGGAAAAGAAGUCUGCCUUGCGCUCAUCUGUCUCCUGUUGGCUGUCCACAAGAUGGAGAAGGCGGAAGCAACCUGAGGAGUCCUCUUUGUCUGUAGGGAUAGAGGGUCCAUUGUGGAAGGGAGAGAUACAGGAACUAUAUAGGCGAGGCCCUACCAGCCCCGCAUCUCUUAUCUCCAGAAUUCUUUUACAGAAAAGAAAAAUAAACGUUUAUCUGGCUUAA